ACGCUGGCGGUAGGCUUAACACAUGCAAGUCGUGCGAGAAAGUAUCUUCGGAUAUGAGUAGAGCGGCGGACGGGUGAGUAACGCGUAGGAAUCUACCUAGUAGAAGGGGAUAGCCCGAGGAAACUCGGAUUAAUACCGUAUACCUCCUUAGGGAGAAAGAGGGCCUCUCUUGAUGCUCUCGCUAUUAGAUGAGCCUGCGUAAGAUUAGCUUGUUGGUGAGGUAAUGGCUCACCAAGGCUACGAUCUUUAGCUGGUCUGAGAGGACGAUCAGCCACAUUGGGACUGAGACACGGCCCAGACUCCUACGGGAGGCAGCAGUGGGGAAUAUUGGACAAUGGGCGCAAGCCUGAUCCAGCCAUACCGCGUGUGUGAAGAAGGCCUUCGGGUUGUAAAGCACUUUAAGCAGGGAGAAAAAGCUAUAAGUUAAUACCUUAUAGCCCUGAUGUUACCUGCAGAAUAAGCACCGGCUAAUUCCGUGCCAGCAGCCGCGGUAAUACGGAAGGUGCAAGCGUUAAUCGGAAUUACUGGGCGUAAAGCGCGCGUAGGUGGUUUGUUAAGUUGGAUGUGAAAGCCCUGGGCUCAACCUAGGAACUGCAUCCAAAACUAACUCACUAGAGUACGAUAGAGGGAGGUAGAAUUCAUAGUGUAGCGGUGGAAUGCGUAGAUAUUAUGAAGAAUACCAGUGGCGAAGGCGGCCUCCUGGAUCUGUACUGACACUGAGGUGCGAAAGCGUGGGUAGCGAACAGGAUUAGAUACCCUGGUAGUCCACGCCGUAAACGAUGACAACUAGCUGUUGGGAAACAAAGUUUCUCAGUGGCGCAGCUAACGUUUUAAGUUGUCCGCC
rnacentral:rRNA from 1 species